GAUGAACGCUGGCGGCGUGCCUAAUACAUGCAAGUCGAGCGAACGGACGAGAAGCUUGCUUUUCUGAUGUUAGCGGCGGACGGGUGAGUAACACGUGGAUAACCUACCUAUAAGACUGGGAUAACUUCGGGAAACCGGAGCUAAUACCGGAUAAUAUUUUGAACCGCAUGGUUCAAAAGUGAAAGACGGUCUUGCUGUCACUUAUAGAUGGAUCCGCGCUGCAUUAGCUAGUUGGUAAGGUAACGGCUUACCAAGGCAACGAUGCAUAGCCGACCUGAGAGGGUGAUCGGCCACACUGGAACUGAGACACGGUCCAGGCUCCUACGGGAGGCAGCAGUAGGGAAUCUUCCGCAAUGGGCGAAAGCCUGACGGAGCAACGCCGCGUGAGUGAUGAAGGUCUUCGGAUCGUAAAACUCUGUUAUUAGGGAAGAACAUAAGUGUAAGUAACUGUGCACAUCUUGACGGUACCUAAUCAGAAAGCCACGGCUAACUACGUG
rnacentral:rRNA from 1 species